ensembl:lncRNA
AACUACUACCAGUACUACAACUACUCCAACUACUACUAGUACUACAACUACUCCAACUACUCCAACUACUACUACAACUACUCCAACUACAACAACUACCACGAGUACUCCAAUUACUACACCUACAUCAACUACACCCAGUAAACCAUCAUAUGUUACAGUUCUCAAAUUGAAGAUGACCUCUUUGGUGGACUUGUCUAAAAUUGAUAGAGAUACAUUCCUUACACAGGGUCCCUGGUCAAGCUUCCCAAUACAUAUCAACCUGCUGAAAGGUAAUCAGAGACUGCUGGUGGCCACACGCCCUUGAUUUAAAACUCGUGGUGAUCGGGCCUUUCAGGAAGUGGCGCCAUAGUUGUGGAAUACUCUUCGAUUGUUUUUAUGCUGUACUGACUCCAUUGAUUCUUUUAAAAAGCAGCUGAAUACAUUUUUAUAUAGAC